UCUGAAGGUCUUGCCAGUGA
rnacentral:miRNA from 1 species